ACAAUCGUUUUUCAGUCAGUUGAUACCGGAUUUUCGAUAGAGACGGACGUGUUGAUGAUCGAGACUCGAACUCGUCGUAAAUUGUAAAUUGUGAACUAGUGUCUUGUUGGGAUUAACUCGUACAUAGUUCUCGAAUCGGGCACAUGUUCUCCUAACGAAGUUUUUCAAACACGAAAAUACCGCCCAGAAUGACCUACCUACCCUUCAGGAGCAAGCCGUUCAAAAUCCUCUGCAAUUACCUGAACACGUAAAACACGUAAAAAACCAAAGGGACACAAGCUCAUAGUGAUAUUAUAAUAGUUCCUCUAUUUAUUCAAAUACAGUGAUAUUAGUUAUAAGUAGCUAAGUGCCAUAUUGACAAUGAUUGUGUUAAGUGUACUUUUAGUUUUGUUGAAAGUUGUGGUGGCGGACAGGAGGCACUUGCCCCCUACGUGUGAAAGUACGAUAUUCUGCCAUGGCCCCCUCCUAGACACGGUCCAGAUGGCUGGCCUGUACCACGACUCCAAGACCUUCGUAGAUAUGAAAAUGAAGCUGUCGCCCAACAUCACAUUGGAACAUUUUAAUCAGAUGAUGACCAGGACAGGUUCCAGACCAACGAAGGCUGAUAUCCAGGAGUUUGUUAAUCAAAAUUUCGACCCUGAAGGUUCCGAAUUCGAAGAAUGGCGACCUACAGAUUGGAAAGACAAUCCCGCAUUUCUUCAAAGGAUCAAAGACCCUCACUUCCACCAAUGGGCAACGGAUCUAAACCGACUUUGGCUACAACUCGGCAGGAAGAUGAAGGAUGAGGUCAAACAGAAUCAAGAACUGUAUUCUAUCAUAUAUGUUGAUAACCCUGUGAUUGUACCUGGUGGUCGUUUCCGUGAAUUCUACUACUGGGACUCGUACUGGAUUAUCAAGGGUUUGCUGUUAUCUGAAAUGCGCACCACCGCCAGGGGGAUGGUCACUAACUUUUUGAACAUAGUCGACAGAUUCGGCUUCAUACCCAAUGGAGGAAGAAUUUACUAUUUAAUGAGAUCUCAACCGCCUCUCCUAAUUCCCAUGGUGAAAUUAAUAAUGGAUGACUUUGGUGAUAUUGAGUUUUUGAGACAGCAUAUAGAAACAUUGGACCGUGAAUACGACUUCUGGGUGAAGAACCAUACCAUUGAAGUGGAUUAUGAUGGACAGAAAUACAAAUUAUUAAGAUACACCGACCAGUCCCAAGGACCCAGACCAGAGAGCUACAAAGAAGAUAUUGACUGCGCUAGACAUUUCGACACAGAAGCCAAAAAGGAAGAAUUAUACGCCGAGCUAAAAUCAGCUGCUGAAUCCGGGUGGGACUUUUCGUCGAGAUGGUUCAUACUUAACGGCACUAACAAAGGAAAUCUGACGAACCUUAAAACGCGAUCAAUUAUUCCCGUCGAUCUAAACGCAAUACUGUGCUGGAACGCUCAACUGAUGGCUGAAUUUCAUGAAAAAUUGAAAAAUUUUGACAAAGCUCAAUAUUAUAGAGACAUGCAUGCUAGACUAAUGGAGGCUAUUGAAAAGGUUCUUUGGCACGAAGACGUCGGCGCUUGGUUAGAUUUCAGUCUCGAAUCAGGCAGACGGAGAGACUACUUCUACCCAUCGAACGUCGCUCCUCUGUGGACCGGAAGUUACGACAAAGCAAGGAAGGACUACUACGUGAAUCGAGUCAUCAACUAUUUGGAUAAAGUUAAGGUGGACAUCUUCGAGGGCGGCAUCCCCACGACGUUCGAGCACUCGGGCGAGCAGUGGGACUACCCCAACGCGUGGCCGCCGCUGCAGGACAUGGUGGUGUCGGGGCUGGCGCGCUCGGGCGUGGCGCUGGCCGCGCGCGCCGCCGCGCAGCUGGCCGCCAAGUGGGUGCGCUCCAACUACGAGGUGUGGCGCCAGAAGACGGCCAUGCUGGAGAAGUACGACGCAACAAUAUUCGGCGGCUACGGCGGCGGCGGUGAAUACGUGGUACAAACUGGCUUCGGCUGGACCAAUGGCGUUAUUAUGGCCCUUCUCGACCAGUACGGAGACACGUUAUCUGUAGCGGAGGCGUUCGGCGAGGAGGGCGCGGAGGAGGUGCGCGGCGCGGCCGUGGGCGCGGGCGGCGUGGCCACCGCGCUGCUCGUGGUCGCCGCGUCGCUGGCGGCGGGCGCGCUGGGGCUCGUUAUGUACAGAAAGCGUCGAGAUUACGCACCUCUUAUCAACGGCGAAGAUCUAAAGCUCCUAGGCCGAAGACCGUAUACGGAACUCAGAAGUAUGAACGGAGCAUCAAACCCGAGACAACGGUGAAUGAAACUACCUCCCCUUACUAGAGAUGAUGAAUUGAAGAGUCAACGAAAUCAAUCAAAAUACAUACGUUUUUGAAAACAAAAAAUUACUCUUUCUUGCUCAUCGACCAAUCGGAACGACUCACUAAAAGUAUACUAACUCGAUGCGACUUGCUUUCGAGUUCGACAAUAAGGAACGAGUAGUAGGGGGUAAUUAGUCAUUAUUGUCCAGCUCUAAUCUUUUUUAGAGUUGGGCUAUUGGAGUUUGUGUACCAGUUCUAUUAUGUGCUGUGAAUUGAAACUCGUGUAUAUAUUUAUAUAUAUAUAGAUAGAUAAGUAACCUUGCUUGUAUAUUUUAGGGUUUAGUUUUGUUCAAUUUAUAACUUGACCUUGAUAUGUUAUUGUCAACAUUUUUAGAUUUUUUUAUAUUGUUUUACAUAUACCGAAGACUAGGCUUUAUGGUGUAGCACCUUUGCCAUUUCCAAAUAAAGAAAAAACAAAGUAUAUAAAAUGUUAUGUAAAAUCGUUUUUUAUUUUUUAUUUUAUUCAAUCAAUCAUAUACCAAUGUAAUAAAUAUAGUAAAAUUCACAUAUAGUUUUGGUCAAGUAUCUUUGUUUCGGGGUCCAAGUUAUGCCCAAUUAAAAACCAAUUUAUGUUGGCCUCUCCAACUAAACAAAAUGUAUCGUCAAAGUAGAUCAAUAGUUAUAGUUAUAUAUAUCGAUUUGAAAUCACAUUUUCAAUAACAUUGUCAUCAAUUAGAUACAAAUUAUUUAUUUAAAAAGGUCUAACAGACAUUUUUUAAAACCAACUGAAAGCUACUCAACUUUAUCGUUUUUGAUGGCAUCAAAAACAAAAAUUAUUUUAUAUAACAUUUUUAUUUACUUGUACAUAUUUUAAACGUAUAAACUGUUUCAAAAUAUUUAAAUUCAGCUUAAUAUUUAACUUUACAUAAUGACAAAUAGUUUAUUAUUAAGGUGUUCCCAAAGACAUAGAAUGGACUAAGCCAAGAUGAGAAAAAGAUCUAGUUAGAAAACUGACAUCAUUAGAAAGAGACAUAGUGACUUAUCAAUAUCUGUCUCUUUUAGUAUUGAGGUGUCUCGGUUAGUAUUAAUUAAAACGAUUACUAUUUUAUCCCAGAAAACUAUUGUGAAUGGGAUUUAACAUCAAAAAUCCCAUGGUAUAUAAAUUUUACAGUACCAACAAGUGUCAUUAGUCUGUCUACUUCGUAAAAACAAUUCUGAAAAGAGACAACAAUAUAUCAAUCGCUUUGUCUCGCUCGCACUCCUGUUUCAUUUCAUAGGUGAACUCUCAGUGCAAGUUCAUUCUAAUUCAUCCUCGUCAAGUUAAAAUUAGACAAAGUCAGUAUAACUAUAUUUAAAUAUGUAAUAAUUUAGAUAAUAAUAACAGAGUAUUAUUAGAUUAGUGAGUAAUUUAUAGUUUUAAGUAGACAAUUUAUAUUCUAAUUUUUGAAUGUUGUGUAAAUAGAAUUUUGUUUUUUUUUUUGUUUUUUGUAUUGUUGCUUGCAUUUAAAAAAGUGUGAUUUCAAAUCGACCGUCUUAGGUUACUCAAAUGUCUAGAUAGGGUGUCGCACUACAAAAUAACUAAAACAUACGACCCAACUUCAUUAUCUUGAUUCUUGGUGUGCGUGACAGCUACGCUUGACACUUGCAAAACGUCACAAUACUUUACUAGUGUGCGUACUUAGUGUUGCCAGUCUAUCUAGAAACUACCAUUUUUAAAACUGACACAGCGUCACGUUGAAAAUUUAAACAGAUAUAACAUGAAAGGUAUGCUAGUUAAUUGUGUUAGUGAAUUUAUUUAUAUUCUAUGCAAUCUGACAUAUAUAUCAACGUAAUAUUUUAUUUCAAAGUGAAAAAAAAAAAUAAAAUAAAAAUUAUUUUAAUUUAA